rnacentral:rRNA from 1 species
UGGGGAAUUUUGGACAAUGGGCGAAAGCCUGAUCCAGCCAUGCCGCGUGAGUGAAGAAGGCCUUCGGGUUGUAAAGCUCUUUUAGUCGGAAAGAAAGAGUUGCAAUGAAUAAUUGUGAUUUAUGACGGUACCGACAGAAAAAGCACCGGCUAACUACGUGCCAGCAGCCGCGGUAAUACGUAGGGUGCGAGCGUUAAUCGGAAUUACUGGGCGUAAAGGGUGCGCAGGCGGUCUUGCAAGUCAGAUGUGAAAGCCCCGGGCUUAACCUGGGAAUUGCGUUUGAAACUACAAGGCUAGAGUGCAGCAGAGGGGAGUGGAAUUCCAUGUGUAGCAGUGAAAUGCGUAGAUAUGUGGAAGAACACCGAUGGCGAAGGCAGCUCCCUGGGUUGACACUGACGCUCAUGCACGAAAGCGUGGGGAGCAAACA